rnacentral:rRNA from 1 species
UACGUAGGGGGCAAGCGUUGUCCGGAAUCAUUGGGCGUAAAGCGCGUGUAGGCGGCCACGUUAGUCCGUUCUGAAAGCCCGGGGCUCAACCCGGGAACUGCGUCCGAUACUGGAAGGCUUGAAUCCGGGAGAGGGAUGCGGAAUUCCAGGUGUAGCGGUGAAAUGCGUAGAUAUCUGGAGGAACACCGGUGGCGAAGGCGGCAUCCUGGACCGGUAUUGACGCUGAGGCGCGAAAGCCAGGGGAGCAAACGGG